rnacentral:rRNA from 1 species
UGGGGAAUUUUGGACAAUGGGGGAAACCCUGAUCCAGCCAUCCCGCGUGUGCGAUGAAGGCCUUCGGGUUGUAAAGCACUUUUGGCAGGAAAGAAACGUCAUGGGUUAAUACCCCGUGAAACUGACGGUACCUGCAGAAUAAGCACCGGCUAACUACGUGCCAGCAGCCGCGGUAAUACGUAGGGUGCAAGCGUUAAUCGGAAUUACUGGGCGUAAAGCGUGCGCAGGCGGUUCGGAAAGAAAGAUGUGAAAUCCCAGAGCUCAACUUUGGAACUGCAUUAUGAACUACCGGGCUAGAGUGUGUCAGAGGGAGGUGGAAUUCCGCGGGUAGCAGUGAAAUGCGUAGAUAUGCGGAGGAACACCGAUGGCGAAGGCAGCCUCCUGGGAUAACACUGACGCUCAUGCACGAAAGCGUGGGGAGCAAACAGG